rnacentral:rRNA from 1 species
UACGUAGGGGGCAAGCGUUAUCCGGAUUUACUGGGUGUAAAGGGAGCGUAGGUGGCAUGGCAAGCCAGAAGUGAAAACCCGGGGCUUAACCCCGCGGAUUGCUUUUGGAACUGUCAGGCUGGAGUGCAGGAGGGGCAGGCGGAAUUCCUGGUGUGGCGGUGAAAUGCGUAGAUAUCAGGAGGAACACCGGUGGCGAAGGCGGCCUGCUGGACUGUAACUGACACUGAGGCUCGAAAGCGUGGGGAGCAAACAGG